AGGAGCGCACAGCUGUUCUUGACAGCCGCUACCUAAAUAAUAAAACAACAGAAAUACAGCGCGUGUUUGCUGUUCGUUUAUUAGCAAUUUUACAUUGUGCUGUGAUUUUUUUCUCCACAAUCUGCAAUAAACAUUAGUUAAAAUGAGUUCACAUCUACUAAGUGUUACUUGCAAAUUGCAGCGUUUUAGCGGCAAUGGCCGGCGUCAGUUAUUUCAAAUGUUUUCACCAAAAGCAUGUUAUGCAACAGGAUCAACAGAGAGAUCACUGCAGCAAAUCCCACUGAGCAACUCCACACCUAUGCUAUGCAAUAAGUGGAAUAUACUGCAAAACCGUGUACAAUACGGCUAUGCUACAAAAGCUACACCCGUGCCGGCAUUUGUUAAAAAGCCCGUACUCACAGUAUUACUAGAGAAGUUAAUGGCACAUCAUCAAAGCAAUGCGCAACUAAAUUUUGAACUAUGCGAUAAAGUAAUCAAACAAUUGGAAAGUAACUCCGUUAUGUACAAUGAGCUACUCAGCAACGAACAGGCACAUUUCCUGUUACGCGCUUGCGGUACACAAAUGCCUGCGCGUACAACUAUCAUACGUUUGUCACUCUUUAAACGUCUAUGGGCAUAUUUGGCACAGCAUGAGCGUUUGAGUGCAGCACAUUAUGUCACCUGGUUACAGGUGCUUGAACAUAAUCGUGCACCACUUCCUGAUUUUCAAAAUUUUUUAACCGAAUUCAAACGUUUGAAUACGUCAAAUGUAUUUACGUUGCCAGAUAUCUAUGCACAGCUAUUGGAAACUGCCUGCAGUGCUGGUGAUAUGCAACAAACAACUGCGUUACUUGCGGAAAUGCGCACACAUGACUUACCGCUGACAGAACGCCACUUCAACGCGCUACUGCAGGGAAACUCUCGAAAUCAUGAUAUAGCGGGUUGCCGCGCUGUGCUUGAUAAUAUGGUAGCAGCCGGCAUACAACCCAGUGCGGAAACACAGUCAGUACUGGUAUGUGCUUAUUUGGAAAAUGAUACUGCCCAAAAAGCGAUAGAAAUCCUGCAACAAUUUCGUGGCCAGUUUAAUGCCGUUCAAGUAGUGAGCAUGCUACGGAGUCUCCUAUAUGUUGCAAAACAACCUGAAGAGGAGUUCAUUAAGAUGUUGGUGCGUGAAUUGCCGAAAGAUUUUGCUGAGGACAUAGAAGUGGCCAUACCAUUGAGGCAUGUCUGCAUCGAGUUGCUGCACAACACUAAUCUCUCCUCGGCGCUUACCAUCAUAAACGCUUUGCCUACACCGAGAUUCAAUGAGAACCAAAGCAUCGACACUUUUGGCGUUUUUCUGCUACAGGAACUAUUCCGUACAAAGUACUCCACCGAGGAGAUAAUAGAUGUUGCAAAGCUGCUGGUGGAGAGUAAAAAGAAUACGCGUGCUCUACACAUAGUGACUGAAAUUGCAUUGCGACGCAGUGCAGAGUCGGCGCUACCAUAUCUGGAAAAAUUAUCUGAACAAGAACCAUUACGACCACACUACUUUUGGCCACUAUUAUUGCAAUCCCAUCAGCAAUCCGGCGAAGCAGGUAUGCUGAAUGUACUAAAAGAAAUGAGCAGCCUAAAUGUUAGCUGUGAUCGUGAAACCAUUGCGCUUUACGUACUUCCAAAUCUGCCAAUAACACUUCAAGAUCCUGUAAAAGCAGUAAAAGCUUUAGAUAACGUGGGAGUGAAACCCUCCUUAACGCUAAUUGAAAUAGUCACGUAUUUACUGUUGCGUCAGAGAUUCGAUGCUGCUCAUGAUUUGCUCGAGUUGUACCCAACUAAAAUGGCCGUUGAACAACUGGUGCAGAUACUAGCCAAUGCGUCGGUGAAUGUGCGCGCCACCAAGCGUUAUCAACAGUUUGGCAAACUUUUAGCAGCUUUGGCGAAAAAGUGUGAAAAUCGUAAAUUGGAUUGGGUUGGCCAAUUGCUGCUGAAUAUGGUACAGAGCCAGAUACGUUUACGCAGCGAUCUGAGAGCCAUACAACGCUUUGUAGAUGAGUUUGUAAAAUUCGGCUUAGUCAUAUCACCCGCAGCGGCCAACUCUAUAAUCACUGUGCUGGAAGAGCAAAUUGGAAAAGAGUUGAAUUUGUCUAAACUCAAAGAUUCUUUACACAAAAUCACCGAUCACAAUGUAGUGCUCAUACAAAGUGCUACGCCAUCGGCUGCUGACAACGGCAGUUCUUCAUUUGUGAAGCAUCCACGGGACAUGUCAUUGGAGGAGUUGGAGUGCCACCUAGUUGAGUUGGAAUCGAAGGGUAUGAAUACGCGGGGCUUACUGCGCCGCCUACUGCAGCUUUGUGUGCGUGACGGGCGUUUGGAGCGUGCUUUAGAGAUCAAAGAGAAGUGUGAUAAGCUGCAAGUGCAAGUGAGUGCCGGCAUGUUGGCCAGUACGCUGGAUCUUUACAUUAAAGUGAAAGAUUUGCCUAACGCCGAGAGGAGUUUGAAGCGGCUGCAGCAAGAAUUUCCAGACUUUUCCCUAGACGAGCACAAGUUCAUUGACUACGCUGCACUUCUGGUGCACAAUAAGCAACUGGACACCGCUAAAGAGUUGCUGCAGGCACGCGCCAGUGUAAAACGCAUAAACGGCGGUGAUUAUGUUAUUAAAAACGUUUGGAAUUUCCUUACGAAUGUCGCCCAAUUGGCGGCGGAAAUGCCCGCGUUGGAGCCGGAACGCAAUUUGACGCGUGAAAACUUUCACUUUUUACAAAAGUUGCGCUACUGCAACGCGCACAACUCCGUUUUGGGCCCCAUCGUACGAGAACGUCUGCUGCGCGGUGAUAUUAAAGGCGCUGUUGCUGAUUUUUGCCAACUCGCACAGCAAUACAAACAUACACCGCUACAAUUUGAAUUACUCUCACUGCUAGUGCGGCUAGGUAACGGUCACGAACAGGAUGUGACGCGAUAUGGCAACAUAAGCGGCGACGAAGCACAAGAGUUGCUGAGUGAAGUGACGAGCACCGUAUCCAGAGUGCAUGGCUCACUGAAUAUGAACAGCGGCCUGCUGCUGGCAUUUGCCGCCUCAGGCACAGACAAUCAACUGCGUCGGCUACUCAUCAAUCCGGAGUUUCGAAUCAACGAGGCUUUGCUAUUGAAAAAUUGUGAACAUUUGGGCGAAGAAGGCGCUGUUAGCACUUUGCUGCGCUUGGCGCGGGGCGCGCGCGGUUUCGGACGCGUUAUUAACGAGCAAAAUAUCUACAAUAUGUUGCUGACGCACUUCGCCAAAUCGAAUAACUAUCAAGCGGCGUUGGAUUUGUAUGAACGCCUGGAGGCCGAUGAUGAUUUGAAGAUUUCGCAAGAGUUUCUGCGCAAUCUAGUACAGCUGUUGCGCGUCAAUAAUAUCGAAAUACCCAGUCAUGUGGCGUUACGCGCGCAAAUCAUGUAGUACAUCUUUCCUUUUUUAAUUAUUAAGUUAUUUGUACAAAAAAAAAUUAUUAUUUUAAGCUACGAGUUCGAACUUAACGCAGCGCUGCAAGCGAUUUGAAGGUAUGGUGGACAAUUGAAUGCUAAAAUAUACAACAACACAAAUAAAUACAUAUGUUAUAAGUCAAGUUGGUUGGACAUCCGUCAGGAUGGUUGGUCGUGUACAUACCAUAUUUUGCUAGUAAUUUUGAUUUGUGUUUGUUUGUAAUAAUAUAAAUAUUAAGGUUUAUGCAUUUUCAAUAUAGAGAAUUUGACCACAAUCAAGAAAGAUAAAAAUGAAGAGAAAAAAAAACAAAACCAAAAAUACACUGUUAAAGAAUACAAGAUGGCGGGUGCGCGCAUAAGUUUCGCAUAAAAAAUAAAAUAAUUGAAUUAAAUAGAAAAAAUGUACGCUUGAUUUCCUUGAAAUCGUAGCACAAUCGUGGGUAAGUUGAAUGUAAUUAAGUUUAGAGUUAUAAAAAAUGCAUUAUUAUUCCUCUUUUCAUUUAAUUAUUUUUCCU